rnacentral:rRNA from 1 species
UGGGGAAUAUUGCACAAUGGAGGGAACUCUGAUGCAGCGACGCCGCGUGAGUGAUGAAGGAAUUCGUUUCGUAAAACUCUGUUCUAUGGGAAGAAAAGGACUGUACCAUAGGAGAAAGCUCCGGCUAAAUACGUGCCAGCAGCCGCGGUAAUACGUAUGGAGCGAGCGUUGUCCGGAAUUAUUGGGCGUAAAGGGUGCGCAGGCGGCUUUACAAGUUGGAUGUGAAAUAUUGUGGCUCAACCACAAACGUGCAUCCAAAACUGCAAAGCUUGAGUUAAGGAGAGGUAAGUGGAAUUCCUGGUGUAGCGGUGGAAUGCGUAGAUAUCAGGAGGAAUACCGGUGGCAAAGGCGACUUACUGGACUUAAACUGACGCUCAGGCACGAAAGCGUGGGGAGCAAACAGG